GAUGAACGCUGGCGGCGUACCUAAUACAUGCAAGUCGAGCGAACAGACGAGGAGCUUGCUCCUCUGACGUUAGCGGCGGACGGGUGAGUAACACGUGGAUAACCUACCUAUAAGACUGGGAUAACUUCGGGAAACCGGAGCUAAUACCGGAUAAUAUAUUGAACCGCAUGGUUCAAUAGUGAAAGACGGUUUUGCUGUCACUUAUAGAUGGAUCUGCGCCGCAUUAGCUAGUUGGUAAGGUAACGGCUUACCAAGGCGACGAUGCGUAGCCGACCUGAGAGGGUGAUCGGCCACACUGGAACUGAGACACGGUCCAGACUCCUACGGGAGGCAGCAGUAGGGAAUCUUCCGCAAUGGGCGAAAGCCUGACGGAGCAACGCCGCGUGAGUGAUGAAGGUCUUCGGAUCGUAAAACUCUGUUAUUAGGGAAGAACAAAUGUGUAAGUAACUAUGCACGUCUUGACGGUACCUAAUCAGAAAGCCACGGCUAACUACGUG
rnacentral:rRNA from 1 species